AAAGAACGGAAGCAAUAAAGACUACAGAAAGACAAGAAAAGAGACAGACACGAAAAGUUGGAAAACAAAGUAACAAAAGGGAGCUCCUCCACCGAGUACUUAGGCUACAAUGAACAAUAGAACACAUUGAAUCUUAUGUCCUAGCAGACUUCUUUCUCCAUUCAGUUCGACACCUAUUUAUUUCAAGUCCAUCGCUUGAUAAUCUCAACAAAUGCAAGAAGCUCUUGUUUACAUCCUUUGGAGCAGUAGCAGAUCCAUUAGACCCGUGACUCUCUAAGGCAUCAGCAUCCUCAAUAGGCUCAACGCUUGUAAGGGAAUCGACAACAUCAUCAUGCUGACAUUCACGCCUAUAAUCUAUAGUAAUUGUUUCCAGUUCAUGUGUAUCAAUGAUUUCUUGAGGAAUACUCUCAAGA
rnacentral:misc_RNA from 1 species